GCCAGAGCCAUAUCUCCCUGCAGUUCUUGCUGGGUUUCCCACUAAAGCUAAGCAGGGUUGAGCCUGGUCAGUAUCUGGAUGGGGGAAAACUACAGUUGCUGCUGGAA
rnacentral:rRNA from 1 species